CACGUAGGGGGCAAGCGUUGUCCGGAUUUAUUGGGCGUAAAGAGCUCGUAGGCGGUUUCGUAAGUCGGAUGUGAAAACUCCAGGCUCAACUUGGAGACGCCAUUCGAUACUGCGAUGACUUGAGUCCGGUAGGGGAGUGUGGAAUUCCUGGUGUAGCGGUGAAAUGCGUAGAUAUCCGGAGGAACACCGGUGGCGAAGGCGGCUUCCUGGACCGACACUGACGCUGAGGCGCGAAAGCUAGGGGAGCAAACAGG
rnacentral:rRNA from 1 species